GACGAACGCUGGCGGCGUGCCUAAUACAUGCAAGUAGAACGCACAGUUUAUACCGUAGCUUGCUACACCAUAGACUGUGAGUUGCGAACGGGUGAGUAACGCGUAGGUAACCUGCCUGGUAGCGGGGGAUAACUAUUGGAAACGAUAGCUAAUACCGCAUAAUAUUAAUUAUUGCAUGAUAAUUAAUUGAAAGGUGCAAUUGCACCACUACCAGAUGGACCUGCGUUGUAUUAGCUAGUAGGUGAGGUAACGGCUCACCUAGGCGACGAUACAUAGCCGACCUGAGAGGGUGAUCGGCCACACUGGGACUGAGACACGGCCCAGACUCCUACGGGAGGCAGCAGUAGGGAAUCUUCGGCAAUGGACGAAAGUCUGACCGAGCAACGCCGCGUGAGUGAAGAAGGUUUUCGGAUCGUAAGGCUCUGUUGUAAGAGAAGAACGG
rnacentral:rRNA from 1 species